GACGAACGCUGGCGGCGUGCUUAACACAUGCAAGUCGAACGGAAAGGCCCUGCUUUUGUGGGGUUCUCGAUUGGCGAACGGGUGAGUAACACGUGAGUAUCCUGCCCUUGACUUUGGGAUAACUUCAGGAAACUGGGGCUAAUACCGGAUAGGAGCUCCUGCUGCAUGGUGUGGGUUGGUAAGUUUCGGCGGUUGGGGAUGUACUCGCGGCUUAUCAGCUUGUUGGUGGGGUAGUGGCUUACCAAGGCUUUGACGGGUAGCCGGCCUGAGAGGGUGACCGGCAACAUUGGGACUGAGAUACGGCACAGAAUCAUACGGGAGGCAGCAGUGGGGAAUAUUGCACAAUGGGCGGAAGCAUGAUGAAGAAACGCAGCGUGCGGGAUGACGGCCUUCGGGUUGAAAAAAGCUUUAGACUGUGACGAAGCGUGAGUGACGGUAAUGGGUAAAGAAGCACCGGCUAACUACGUG
rnacentral:rRNA from 1 species